CCUGACUACACAAAUGAGACUGUUAGGUAAUCUUGGUGGGUCAAGUUCGUUUGGUUCAUGGGUCAUAUGGGUUUAUUAUGCAUGUUUAUUUUGAGUAAAAAUAUAUGGUAAAAGCUAUGACCGAUUCUUAAGGAGUAUGUUGAGUAGUGAUAGAAGAUUUGACUCCAUUUAUAAGGUAUUUAGGUUAGAAUUGUAGUUUAAUUGUUUUGUUUGUUGUUCCCACUAGGUCUAAUCAAGACGAUGGGCAACCCGGGCGAUUGCCUAGGGCUCAUACCUCUAAGGGGCCCAAAAUUCUUAGAAUAUCCUAUCCUAAUAAAUAAGUAGAAUCGUGCCACAUGUCAGUCUCCCAGGCCCCUAAAAUAGAGUUUUCCCGCUUCUUUUCUUCAGCUCAAUUUACGUAAAUGCCUUUCACUUCAAAUUGAAUCGGCGCAAUUCAGUUUGCCUAUUUUUUCGUCCCUGUACUCUAAUUUUUUUCCUAAAAUCUAGAAUCAAUCAACGAUAUACUCUGCUUGUAAAUAGGUAUUUGAUAUGCUGACUUCUUAUAGGCAAACAAUCUUCUGUCGACGAAAGUUUAGGGUUUUGGAUGGUAUUCGUCGCUGCCAACAAUCUUCUGUUAACUUUUUUCGAUCAACAAAACCUUUUAAUCUUUAUGGAGAUUUGGGUUAUUUUAUUUGUUGAUAUUCUGCCUAUGCGUGAUUAUAGCAUGAUUAUACGAUUUCUUCCCCUCUGUCCUUACUGAUUCCCUGAAUUUUGGGAUUCAAUAUUUUCAAUUCAAAUUCCCGUUUGCCAUUUUUGAAAUCGUACUGAGCAAUUUAUCUCUCUCAUAUACAUAUAUACAUAUGCCUAUAUGCAAGGGUUCCAUGUUCUUGUCCGCCUCGAUGGUCUGCCUCCAUAUGCCAAUUACAGUCAAGUUUGUAGCCACCUUCCCAUCCCUGUAAUCGGUUUAAGGAUCCAAAAACAACACUUCACAUCACUCAUUUUAUUUUCCAACCCUCUGAUGGCUUAUAUAUCCACCAUCUACAACUAUCAUUCUCUCUAUCUCUAAGAAAAGUGCUAAUCUCAUCCACCACCACUAUUCUUCACCAUGACCACCAUGAAAUCACCACCAGUAGUAGUCGCCGCCAUCCAGAGACACCACAGUCUCUCUCUCAACGUAUAUAUAGAAUCAAUAGAGGAGUGAUGAUAACGAAGAAUAUAACACUUAUUAUGUUUGAUUUCUUGGGGGGUUUUCUUGGAUUUUGUUUAGACAAUGCGAUUUGAUUCCUAACUUCAUUGUUGAUUUCUGAACCCCACAUACGGCUUCCUUAAAGGUUGCAGAUAAUAAAUGGUUUAAAAAUAACUACAACCCAUUUCGUUCUCUUCGUAUGAUUAGCAUAUUCAUCAAUGCAUGCCAAAUGCUUGAUAAAAUGCCUAAUUGAAUCAAAAUCAGGUCUUCCCUUUAUUUCUUUGUCUCUCCAGUACCGAAACACGCAUACACACAUGUCUAUUUAUUUUUAUUUAUUUCUGGAGCAAGGAUUCGGGUCUGGUUCUAAUAGAGUGCAUAAGCGUGAUUUAUUAGAAGUUUUUAUCAGGUCGGUAUCAAGAAGUUCACGUUGAUUGAAAUAUUUAUCCUUCGUUCCACCUCAAAACUAGGUAUGGUGUUUGUGUUCUACAAGUUAGGUUUUGACAUAAUGCUUUCAUAAAAACUCUAGGAUCUAAUAACAUUGCAUAUCAAAUAUCUCCUUAAAGAAUAAAAUUCCUUAUCUCAAUUGAACAAUGAUUGACUUCAGGUUUGUACAAUGUUGAUAUUUUCUUUAAAAGGAGGCCAAAAUUACAAAGAGGAAAUCCUCCAAAUAAGAAAUCUGAUGGUGGCAAUUCAAAAGAAUCCACAACAUUUUUUGGAUGUUCCAUUUCGAUCUUUUAGAAAGAAUUCGGAAUCGGAAUCCAAGGAAGCAAGUCCCCAUUUGAAAAUAAGUUCGGGAACAAGUUCAGUUUUUGAAAUUUUAUAUUAGAAAUUCAAUUGGGAAUCCCAUAAAUCUACAAGUUAGUAUUCAGAACUACAAGAUAAAGCUGUUGAGUUGUCAUCACUUAACUUUAUCAUCCAAAAGAACACAUAUACAUUUUGGUCGUAUCUCUAGAACUUCGCUUCGUGCUCUGCCACUGAGUAAGUUUUAUUAUUUCUGACUUUUGUUUCUUUAUCGAAGUUUGGUUUGUCCAGGAGCGUAAGGAUUAUGGUUGUGCAACUCAUGGUUAAUGAAUAUAUCUAGAUUAACCUCUUUGGAAUUUAAGUUAAUUAUUUAGGAUUAUCAUUAACACUAUGGGUCGUGUAUCUUUAUUUCAUUUGUUUAUUAAUUUAAUGGGUUUUAAAGGUAACAGGUGGUAAGCAAGUUACAGAGCACCAACUCUUGACUGUCUUCAGAGGAAUAGUUUGAAAUGAGUGUGUAACAGUAAUUAAUUUUACAAGAAACCAAGGUGAAUAAACCUUUUUCAUAUUUUGUUUAUCAAAAUAUGGAAACGAUAAUUAUUUAUAAGUUCAUUUUUUUUAAUUUAGCAUCAAUUUAGCAUCCUACUUAGGAUGUAGAAACUGGACUAUACAAGAUUAACAUCCUACUAUUUCAUUCUAAUUUUGACUAAUCUCUGUAAUGAAAGGUUUAUUGUGCAGAUUUUUGAAGCUAAAAACAAGACUAUGAAGGCGCUCUAUAUAUGGGAUAUAGUGCUUAUAUCUCUAUUUCUUCCCCUGCUAUAAUUCCAUAGAAAUAUGAAUAUGAAGGCAUGUUCUUUGUAUGUGUAGAAUAAUGACUAUAUUUUCAUCUUUUUAUGUUAUUGUGAGUUCCAAAAUUAGUCAAUUUAU